UUGCUCCUCUGUAGUUACAGUCUUGCAGCUCAAAAUUUACCUCAAGAAAGAAUGCAAAUAAUGUCUGAAGUAUCAAGUGAGUUCUUUAAAUACAAAACAACAGGGAGACUAUCCCCCUGGUUCACUUGAAGAUAGCCCAGGAGUAAAAGAGAAACUGUUUUUUUCCCCCACAGAUCAUGCUACAAAGAAUUAGAAACGGGAUCACUUGGGGGGAGGAAAGGGGAAUCAACAGAUUCUGUAUUUUUUGCUAGGAUUACCAGGGCUGGAGUUUUGACUUCCAUUAGCAGUGGCAUUGCUCAGCACUUCCAAAGGUGGUUGCGGUGUUUAAAAAGCAAUCCACUUCACAUUACUUGAUGUUCAAGUUUCCCACUACAGCAUAUGUAUUAUGGAGGAGAAGGUACCUGGCUUUAUAACUAAAUCUUUGUUCUAUAGGAGUGAUGGAUGGUAACAGAAACUGGGCAAAAUGUAAGCUAACCUGGCAAAAUGAGAAGGGAUUAAUUGGGAGCUUAACUCUUUACACAUGAUUUCUGUUUGCAUUUUUGCUCUCCUCCUAACUAUCUCUACUUUUCUCACAUGUGCCUGUUUUUCUGGCCAAUCCCUAUCAGCCAAAUGCUACUUUAAGGAUUUAUAAGCUUGGAGAAGCAGCUAGGUUUUUGUUUGAAAGCAAGAUUGAGAGUUGCCAUGAUUGCACUGCGCUCCUAUAUGCCUUCUAACACCAUGACAACAGUUACAGCUGGGCUUCGAGGAGACUGGUUUUCUAUGCGAAAUACUGGCACCUGAUCUGCUGCUACGGAAAAGUGGCAGUGAAAGAAACAGCAUACCAGAACACUCAUAUACAUGUUCCAUUGUGAAAGAGAAACCACAGGGACCUAACGUAGGUCCCUAACAGAGACCAAUCGGCUGUAGGACCCUUUCAAGAAACCCACUGAAGAGCAGUAGGUGAGCUGUUCCAUGGCAGGGCCCUGGGGCACUGCAGGUUCUGUGGGGCCAGCUGCAGUGGCAAAAGGCCAGAGAGGCAUGUGAGUGCACUUGCACUUGGUCCUUCUGUACCAUCUUCUAUCUAGAAGAACAGAAGGGGCCCCAGGUCCCAGCACAUCUUUCCUGCCUCUGAACAGUGGAAUAGUUUUCAACCUUAUGCAUGUAUUUAUGGAUGUUUACUAGCUCUGUGUCUCUUACUCCAAAUACUUGCUUUUCAAUUACCAAGAGAAAAGACAGCUCACAUCAGCCUCUUGCUUCACAAAGCACACAGUAUCUGUAAUUCAUAAGUGAUUGCACUCAGAGACCUGUAUUAUUUCUUACUCUGAGCACAUCAGCUUUUGUAACAGUGUACAGAAUCUGUAUGCCAAAAACUCACUUCAGCAUAAAAGGCCUAUCCUCUCCCC